CCUACGGGCGGCAGCAGUGGGGGAUAUUGCACAAUGGGGGGAACCCUGAUGCAGCGACGCCGCGUGGGUGAAGGAGCGUUUCGGCGCGUAAAGUCCUAUCGGCAGGGAAGAAGAUGACGGUACCUGACCAAGAAGCCCCGGCUAACUACGUGCCAGCAGCCGCGGUAAUACGAAGGGGGCAAGCGUUACCCGGAUUUACUGGGUGUAAAGGGGGCGCAGACGGGAAAGCAAGUCAGGAGUGAAAGCCCGGGGCCGAACCCCGGGACUGCUCUUGGAACUGCAAGUCUGGAGUACAGGAGGGGCAGGCGGAAUUCCUGGUGUAGCGGUGAAAUGCGUAGAGAUUAGGAGGAACACCGGUGGCGAAGGCGACCUGCUGGACUGUGACUGACGUUGAGGCGCGAAGGCGUGGGGAGCAAACAGGAUUAGAUACCCGAGUAGUC
rnacentral:rRNA from 1 species